NNNNNNNNNNNNNNNNNNNNNNNNNNNNNNNNNNNNNNNNNNNNNNNNNNNNAUCCAGAGGAGGAGGUAUAUCACAAUUAUGCAAAGUGAGGGGAAAAGAGAUGGUCUUAGACAAAAUGCUUCCCUUCUUGUCGGGUGCACUAGAGGGAUGUUUCGCUAGAAAAGUCUCUGUGUCGGAGCUGAGGUGGAGAGCCGAGGGGCGCUUUGCUUUCCCUCUCCGGAGCGUUUUACCUCUUGAGACACCGUAACUUUAAAGUCCUCCAAGUUGUAGUCGGCGCCAUCAUGACGCCAGGGACUGUGAGAUUUUGUUGCUUAUUUAAUUUUUUCCAAUCUCUCCGGGGCGGCCGCGCCACAGCCGACAAGUUGGCUACAAUCGGCCAACUAGUUCACUCUUUGCCUCUUUUCGGAAAUAGAUUGAAGACCCUUUAGCUAUUCCGGGCCAUUUGCAGAUCAAUGCGAGAGCCGAGGCUGGAGUCAAUAGCAGUUACGCCAAUCAAUCUUGUUCAGUGAGGAGUUUGGGAAGCAGAGCGAGGAAGUGGAGAGAAACAAGUAAUUAAAAAAUAUGCUCACUACCACCACCACCAGCCCCCUCACCCCCCUUAAGCAGUCUUUGAGAUUUUCCUCGCCUUGACUCCAGUCCUCCUUCCCUUGGAGGAAAUAAAUAAAGCAAAACCGCACAUCUCUAACUCGUUUUCCAUAAUGCUAGCAGGAUCCUUUGGCAAAGCGCACCGAAGCAAUAAUCUCUGCAGGGGUCAGCAUCCGGCUGCCUCCCCAGACUGAGCUCUUUACGAGGCAGGCAGGGAGUCGUUUUGCUUCGCGGUAUCGGUGCUCAGGGUGAUUUUUAUCGCAGUGCAUGAGGAUAUAUGGGGAAAAUGGGGAAAGGGAAGUGUUCCCAUCACCUGUGACCACCCAGACUGACUGCUCCAAGAGCCCCUAACUAGCAUCACCUCCCCGCUGAACUGACACUCCCGUGCUAGGCAAUUAACCGAGGCGCUUGCGGCAGGAGUUACUGAUGUUAUUAGUAUGCAAGCUUAACUCUCAAACCCGGCUCAGAAAUUGAGAGUGCAAUAGUAUUCAACCGCAUUUUGAGACAUCAAUAAAAUGUUAGUCAUUUGCGGAUGAAUGAAAACAUUUUCUUUACCGUCUGGUAUGCUAGGGAAAUAAUUGUCAAAUGACAGACUCUUGCUAAUAUUGAUGCCAAAUACCUAGAUAACACUGUCAUCUUGUUAACUGCGGUUUUUCUCUCGCACGAGGUACGCUGAUGGAUAAAGCUUAAAAUUAUAUAGGGCAAACGGGAGAUUAGAAGAAUCAGCAUGUCACAUGCAUGGGCAAAACUAUGCAGUAUUAUUUAAUAUUUUCUCUAGAAAUGAUCUAGAUCCCAUUGAAGAGAAGCAGAAGGCACAGCUUCCGGCAUUGUGACUCAGUUUAGUGCUAUUUUAUGCGGAGAUGGGAUGCCAGCGUUUUCUAGUACAAGCUAUGAAAAGCAUCCUUUUGUAACUGCUGUUUCCCAGAGAUCUGACAUCUUGGGGGGGGGCGGGGGAGGGAGAAUUUCUGUGACCAGGGAUGGAGCUGUGCAGCAGUUUUAAUAUGUACAACAACCCUUCAGGCUUGUAAAAGGGAACUGGAACCACUUAUGUUUAAAGGCAAAGAGUUUAUUUUCUUUAUUUCUAGUUUUUAUCUCAACUUAUAUUCACUGAUCACAAACCACUUAAGUGUCACAAAACCAAUCCAAAGGAAGCAAUAACUGAACCAAGUUUAUAGUUGCAUAGGCUAUUGCAAAGAUUAUUUUCAUGUACUUUUGCUGUCCUUCUGACUAGAGAAGAAUUUGAUUUUAAAAGCACCAUGACUUUCUUUUCUCUUCAUUCUUUCUAAAGGCAUUUUUCUGAGAGGCUUUUACAAGGUUUCCAAUAUUUGCUUUCGUGGUCCUACAUUUCUUCCAAGCAGAGACCUAAAUUCUGGCAGUCUUGGCUUCUUCUAAGGGAAACCAGAACAAAAACAAAUAACUAAAUGCAAGAAAGAAAUCUCCCAGCUCAGAUGGCAUGUGG
rnacentral:lncRNA from 1 species